ACUUCGGGAAACCCGGAGCUAAUACCGGAUAAUAUUUUGAACCGCAUGGUUCAAAAAGUGAAAGACGGUCUUGCUGUCACUUAUAGAUGGAUCCGCGCUGCAUUAGCUAGUUGGUAAGGUAACGGCUUACCAAGGCAACGAUGCAUAGCCGACCUGAGAGGGUGAUCGGCCACACUGGAACUGAGACACGGUCCAGACUCCUACGGGAGGCAGCAGUAGGGAAUCUUCCGCAAUGGGCGAAAGCCUGACGGAGCAACGCCGCGUGAGUGAUGAAGGUCUUCGGAUCGUAAAACUCUGUUAUUAGGGAAGAACAUAUGUGUAAGUAACUGUGCACAUCUUGACGGUACCUAAUCAGAAAGCCACGGCUAACUACGUGCCAGCAGCCGCGGUAAUACGUAGGUGGCAAGCGUUAUCCGGAAUUAUUGGGCGUAAAGCGCGCGUAGGCGGUUUUUUAAGUCUGAUGUGAAAGCCCACGGCUCAACCGUGGAGGGUCAUUGGAAACUGGAAAACUUGAGUGCAGAAGAGGAAAGUGGAAUUCCAUGUGUAGCGGUGAAAUGCGCAGAGAUAUGGAGGAACACCAGUGGCGAAGGCGACUUUCUGGUCUGUAACUGACGCUGAUGUGCGAAAGCGUGGGGAUCAAACAGGAUUAGAUACCCUGGUAGUCCACGCCGUAAACGAUGAGUGCUAAGUGUUAGGGGGUUUCCGCCCCUUAGUGCUGCAGCUAACGCAUUAAGCACUCCGCCUGGGGAGUACGACCGCAAGGUGAAACUCAAAGGAAUUGACGGC
rnacentral:rRNA from 1 species